rnacentral:tRNA from 1 species
GGUUAGUUAGUCUAAUCAAAGACUUUUACUUUGAAAGUAAAAAAUAGAGUAGUUGCUCUACUAACCU